UUAAUAAUUAAAACAUAACUUUAUUUUUCAUAUUUAAAGUAAAAAAACAAUCAUUUCUCGUAAAACAUAUGUUUAAGGAGUAUUCUGCAUUUUUUUUAAACGGAAAGUUUAUUAAUCUUUUGUUUAUCACUGAUUAUUCUUAGAAAAUCAUUAAACUCAAUAAUAUAAAAUUAAAUAUGUAACCUAUGUAGGUAUAUAAAAUAAAUGGCAUCAAAUAAAAUUUAUUUUUGAAUGAUUAUAAAAUACAUUAAUAAAGCUGUAAAUGUAAACACAAACCAAACAGAAGAAUUGCGAGCAUAACGAAACCAAUAAACCAAGGUUUGAAAGCAACUUUCAUUUUUGAUAAUGAAAUAAUGGUGUUUUAAAAAUUAGAACGACAUAGAAGUACAUUUAUAGAUGAAUCACAAAUUGAAACAAGUCUAAUUUAAGCUAUACAUCUUUUCAAAUUCCAAUAUAAACGGAUCUAGUUUGACAAAAACAAAAAAUCACAACCACUUGUUUUUAAAUUUAUUAAAUAAAAAUAGCCUUUUUAUAUUUAAUUUAAAGUAUUUUUGAUAUGCAUAAACAAUAAUUCGAUUAAGUCACAGAUUCAGAAUUUAUAUAAUAUAUAUAGUCUAUUAUAUAUGUUUGGAGUCUAUUUUAGAGUCAUUUCAGGUUCACAUACGUUUGAGGAACUUUGUUGAUUUCAGAAUUAUUUGAGUUGCAGAACUGUAAAGACGUGUCCAAAAUUUGGCGAUGGACGGAGACCUUCCCACGCUGGGAUUGAGCUCAUAUUUUGACACAAGAUAUAUAUUUGAGUUACCUUUCCUAUUCCAUCGGUUUGAGGUCCAUCUGAAGGUUAAAUAUAGAGUUAUGAUCAUUUCACUGAAGAAUGGUAUGUCAAACUCGCGAGAGGAAACUGUCGAAGAAAUGAAGGAGUGUCGAUCAAUAAUGACCCUUUGGUGUCGAUCGACACUGAUGAAAGUAGAUGGCCGAGUCUAUUUCAAGACCGACUGAGACCCAGAAGUCACCACAAAUUAACAGGAUGCCUUUGGCCAACUCAAAAUUCUAUUUAUGUGUUUUAUUAGUUGUUGUUUAGGGUAUUCUUUCUUUUAUGAUUUAUAUUAUUUUAUUUUAGGUUUUCUCUUAGGUUAAAAAAAUAUAAAAGAAUUCCUUCAGAAUCUUCUUGGAACUCCUUUGGUUUUUGUAUUGAUUUCUAUUUUAUAUAUUGGAUUGAUCGAUGGAUGUCGAGAAGGAUGCCAAUGACAAUCUAUAAUGCCCUGCCCUACAUGUUUCUUAGAUGGUUUUUUUUGCAGUGUAUUAUAAAACUGUUUUGCAUGUUAAGUUCUUCCCUGCUAUUAUCAGAAAUUACAGUUUCAUAAAAAUACAUUUGUAACCAUAUCAUAAUAUAAAUUUCUCUGAUGCUCAUCAUACACAUCACCCACAUUAUUUCCAAAUAUAUAAUGUACUUGGUCCUCGUAAUAAAUAGCAUUGCACUAUAAGUUGGUUUUUCGAACUGUUUUGUUCACAAAAGUAGGCACGUUUUUACCACCAAAUAAAAUAAUGCCAAAACGUGUAUCUAUCUAUAUUAUUAAAAUUAAUAUAAUUUUGGUAUUGUUUGGAAACAUGGAUAACAUAAUAAAUGAGAAUUGUUUGGAGACACAUGUAGUAGAUUAAAUAUUUAUUUUUAUUUACACAUUUAGUCAAUGUAUUUAUAAUAAAUUAAAUACUUCAGUUUUGUAUUUCGUUUUUAUUUACACAUUUCAUCACUGUAUUUAAAAUCAAUUUAAAUUAAUUAAUUACAAUUUUGUCGUUUCUUUGUGGUGAAAAUAAAAACUAAAACUAAAAUAUAUAGUAUAUAUAUUAUGUAAAACAAUUUUUAAAUAUAGUAUUACUUUAUUUAGUUUAGUCAAAUAUAAAAAAAAUUGAGAAUUCAGUUUUCAAAAGAACAAAAUAUCAUAAAAUCUAUAAUAAUAAAGUUGGGUAUGCUCUUUCCUCGUUAAGCCACAUCAGCACGCAGGGGUGGGCAAAUAAUAUGUUACCGGUGAUGUGUGUCUAUGCCGCAUAUAAAAAAAAGUAUUUCUGGUUUUCAUGGAAUUACGGUGACGUGAGCAAUUUGGUGUUUCGAAAAGCAUGGAACAAGACACAGAUGUGAUCCACAAUGAAAGGAGUAACGAAUGGAGAUUUUUCUUUGAUAAUUUAUGAUUUUUGUUGGUAUGCGAUCUGACUUUCUCUCCAUGUAGAUUGAUCGUUGUUUCACCGCUUCAAGUGAGUCGAAGCAUAGAUUUGAAAAAAAAUUCAUUGACGUACGGGAUGGAGUCUAUCACUUGGGCAGGAAAGGAUUAUCUUGGUCUUUUUAAUACUAGGAGAAAAAAGAGUGAGCUUUGCUUCGUAUGGAGUUUGAUCUUCAGCCGUGUGAUACUUCUUGUUGGGGCAAUAGUGGAUUUGUUGGAAGUGGAGUCUACAGCAGGAAAACAAAUAUUUUUGUCAGAUCGCUUUUCCUAAGUGCAAGGUUCAUCCAUUUUUCUCUUGUGGGAUCAUUGUCACGUGGGAUGUGGAGGAGUCUGAGUUUGUGUAUCAAAUAUUAGAUCAUAGUUUAUCUUCCAUCCUUACAUGUUUAUGAUACACGCUAUGGUAUCACAUACAAAAGAAAUAAGAUUCAAAAGUAAUAUUUCCUUAAAGCAUUAAGAAUAGAGUUUUGGUAUUUUUCCUUUUAAGAUACUUUAAGCAGUUUUUCAAAUAUUCGUAGGGUUAUGAUUUGUAUAACCCUAUAUAAAAAGAGAUCUAAUCUUAUUAUACAAAGCUUAGUUUUUCAAAGUUGUUAAUUAACAUGACGAUGACACAUGACAAUUAAAAAUUUAAGAUGAUGAUAUGUGUUAAAAUUUAUCAUAUUUAAUAAUAUAAAUAUAAUAAGAUAAUAACACAAAAGAAUUAUUUAAUCGUAGUUUUCCUUUUUAAAUACUAAACAAAGAUAAUAAUAGCAAAAGAUUAUUUGAUGGUUUUUACUUGACAAUAAUUUCCUUUUUCUAAUUUUUUUUUUCCUUUUUACAAUUCCUAAACAAAAAAUAUGUAUAAUAAUUUACUUAAUAGUAAUUUUUCGUUUUGUAAAAUCGUUUUUUAAAAUACUAAAUAAAGAUAACAUCAAAAGAUUAUUUGAUAGUUUUUUUUAGUUGACAAUAAUUUCAUUUUUAUAUUUUUUUUCCUUUUUACAAUUCCUAAAAAAAAUAUGUAUAAUAAUUUACUUAAUACUAAUUUUCGUUUUCUAAAAUAAAAAAAUAUAAAUUUGAAAAUUUGUUUGAUAGUAAUUAUCCCUUUAUAAAAUUUUCUACAAAAUGAAAUUGGUUAAAAAGUGUUUAAUUGUAGUUUUCUCUUUUUUUCAAAUCUAAAAAAAUGUAAAAUAAGUAUUUCAAAUAUUUUCAUAUAAUAAUAGACUCUAUUAUUUAAAUACUAAAUUUAUGUUUAAGAAAACAUAAUCCAAAAAGGAUUACAUUAUUUUUUUGUAACUGAAAGGAUUACAAUUAUUCACAUCUAUAUAUAAGAUUAAACUCUCCUAUAUUUUGUGACCAAACAUAAUUGCUUAAUAUAUCAUAAUUAAUCAUAUAAAUAUAAUAAGAUAAUAACACAAAAAUUCUUUAAUAGUAAUUUUCCUUUUUAAAAUCCUAAACAAAGAUAAUAGCAAAACAUAAUUUGAUAGUUUUUAGUUGACAAUAAUUUCCAUUUUCUGAUUUUUUCUUUUUUACAAUUCUUAAAAAAUGUAUAGUAAUUUACUUAAUAAUAAUUUUCGUUUUCUAAAAUCAUAAAGAAAAUAUAAUUGUAAAAAUUUGUUUGAUAGUAAUUAUCCUUUUAUAAAAUCUUCUACAAAAAAAAUUGUUAAAGACUGUUUAAUUGUAGUUUUCUUUUUUCUUCAAAUCUAAACAAAAAAUGUAAAACAAGUAUUUCAAAUAUUUCCAUAUAAUAAUAAACUUUCUUAUUUAAAUAGUAAAUUUUAUGUUUAAGAAAUCAUAAUCCAAAAAGGAUUACAAUAUUCUUUUCUUUUUUUUUGUAACUGAAGGGAUUAGAAUAAUUCACAUCUAUAUAUAAGAUAAAACUCUACUAUAUUUUGUCACCAAACAUAAUUGAUUAAAAUCAGAACUCUCUCAUAUAAGAAAAACAUUAGGUGCACUUUUUUUUGAUAUAACUUUAUAAUUAUCAUAAAAUAUGAUGUUGUUGUGCGUAAGUUAUUGACACAAUUAUGUGUGUUAGUUCUUAUAGUCGAUAUAAAAUUGGUUAUUUUGUCAUAGUAAGUCAAUGUCAACAUCAAUUUAUUAUGUUACGUCAGUAACGAUUGAUCAAUUCAGUAUAAACGGUUUAUUAUGGUUAUGUGAGUUAGAUAAUAAUUUUAAAUACUUGAACAAGAAGAAAAGGAGAUGAAGAUACAUGUAUCAAUAUUUGUUAUUUAUAUUUAUUUAUGACAAAUACAUAGUAUUAUUAUAAAUAUUAUUCGAGUUUUAAUGUAUAUAAAAAAUCAGUUAGCGCAGUCAAUCCGACACAUGCAUCCGUAAUUUAUUCUAAGGCAUUUACUUAUCAGUGCUUUUUUCUUUUUGAGACAUAAGGCUUCACAGCUAUCGGGAGUACAUCUUGGAGGGUUGGGAUUUUUUGAUGAUGGUAUAGGUGUUAAAGUUGUGAAACACCACCUAUUUUCUCCUGUCCGAGCAAUAGCCCUUUCUCC